CCCUCAUCGACAACGCGAUGACCAAGAAGCCUCAGGUAGUGCAAAUCGAGCCGACCGACAAGGCGUUCAAGACGAGUGGCUGCCAACCCUGGCAGAGCACCCCUGACGCCGAUGUGCCCGCCGAGCUUCCCGGCCCGGCCGCCGGGGGCCAGUUGCAGAUGAAUCUGGGGAUACUCAACGGGCUGCUUGCUCCGAAUGGUCAGCAAGUA
rnacentral:ncRNA from 14 species